rnacentral:rRNA from 1 species
CACCCAGGACGGUGGGUCACUCGGCUCGUGGGUCGAUGAAGAACGCAGCAAAUUGCGCGUCGACAUGUGAACUGCAGGACACAUGAACAUCGACGUUUCGAACGCGCAUUGCGGUCCAUGGAUUCCGUUCCCGGGCCACGUCUGGCUGAGGGUCGGCU